UACGAAGGGGGCUAGCGUUGCUCGGAAUUACUGGGCGUAAAGCGCACGUAGGCGGCUUGUUAAGUAGGAGGUGAAAUCCUGGAGCUCAACUCCAGAACUGCCUUCGAUACUGGCGAGCUCGAGUCCGGGAGAGGUGAGUGGAACUGCGAGUGUAGAGGUGAAAUUCGUAGAUAUUCGCAAGAACACCAGUGGCGAAGGCGGCUCACUGGCCCGGUACUGACGCUGAGGUGGCGAAAGCGUGGGGAGCAAACAGGG
rnacentral:rRNA from 1 species